rnacentral:rRNA from 1 species
GACGAACGCUGGCGGCGUGCUUAACACAUGCAAGUCGAACGGAAAGGCCCUGCUUUUGUGGGGUGCUCGAGUGGCGAACGGGUGAGUAACACGUGAGUAACCUGCCCUUGACUUUGGGAUAACUUCAGGAAACUGGGGCUAAUACCGGAUAUGAGCUCCUGCUGCAUGGUGUGGGUUGGAAAGUUUCGGCGGUUGGGGAUGGACUCGCGGCUUAUCAGCUUGUUGGUGGGGUAGUGGCUUACCAAGGCUUUGACGGGUAGCCGGCCUGAGAGGGUGAACGGCCACAUGGGGACUGAGAUACGGCCCAGACUCCUACGGGAGGCAGCAGUGGGGAAUAUUGCACAAUGGGCGGAAGCCUGAUGCAGCAACGCCGCGUGCGGGAUGACGGCCUUCGGGUUGUAAACCGCUUUCGCCUGUGACGAAGCGUGAGUGACGGUAAUGGGUAAAGAAGCACCGGCUAACUACGUG